rnacentral:rRNA from 1 species
CCUACGGGAGGCUGCAGUGAGGAAUUUUGCGCAAUGGGCGAAAGCCUGACGCAGCGACGCCGCGUGAACGAUGAAGUCCUUCGGGAUGUAAAGUUCUGUCAGCAGGGACAAUAAUGAUGGUACCUGCAGAGGAAGGCCCGGCAAACUAUGUGCCAGCAGCCGCGGUAAUACAUAGGGGUCAAGCGUUGUCCGGAUUUACUGGGCGUAAAGGGCUCGUAGGCGGUAAGAUAAGUCAGAAUUAAAAGGCAGAAGCUUAACUUUUGUUCGGUUCUGAGACUGUCUUACUUGAGAUUGGGAGAGGAAGAUGGAAUUAACAGUGUAGCGGUGAAAUGCGUAGAUAUUGUUAAGAACACCCGUGGCGAAGGCGGUCUUCUGGCCCAAAUCUGACGCUGAGGAGCGAAAGCGUGGGGAGCAAACAGGAUUAGAUACCCCUGUAGUC